rnacentral:rRNA from 1 species
UACAGAGGUCUCAAGCGUUGUUCGGAUUCACUGGGCGUAAAGCGCACGUAGGCGGAUGUGUCAGUCAGGGGUGAAAUCCCGGGGCUCAACCUCGGAACUGCCUUUGAUACAGCACGUCUCGAGUCCGGAAGAGGUGGGUGGAAUUCCUAGUGUAGAGGUGAAAUUCGUAGAUAUUAGGAAGAACACCGGUGGCGAAGGCGGCCCACUGGGCCGGUACUGACGCUGAGGUGCGAAAGCGUGGGGAGCAAACAGG